AACGAACGCUGGCGGCGCGCCUAACACAUGCAAGUCGAACGAGAAGCUGUAGCAAUACAGUUGUACAGUGGCGAACGGGUGAGGAAUACAUGGGUGACCUACCCUCGAGUGGGGAAUAACCAGCCGAAAGGUUGGCUAAUACCGCGUACGUUUCCCAGUCUGCGGAUUGGGAAGGAAAGCGAUGCCGUGGGUAUCGCGCUCAAGGUUGGGCUCAUGUCCUAUCAGCUUGNGGUGAGGUAACGGCUCACCAAGGCAACGACGGGUAGCUGGUCUGAGAGGACGAUCAGCCACACUGGCACUGCGACACGGGCCAGACUCCUACGGGAGGCAGCAGUGAGGAAUAUUGCGCAAUGGGCGAAAGCCUGACGCAGCGACGCCGCGUGGGGGAGUGAAGGUCUUCGGAUUGUAAACCCCUUUCGGGAGGGAAGGAUGGGACGAGCAAUCGUUCGGACGGUACCUCCAGAAGCAGCCACGGCUAACUUCGUGCC
rnacentral:rRNA from 1 species